GACGAACGCUGGCGGCGUGCUUAACACAUGCAAGUCGAACGGAAAGGCCCUGCUUUUGUGGGGUGCUCGAGUGGCGAACGGGUGAGUAACACGUGAGUAACCUGCCCUUGACUUUGGGAUAACUUCAGGAAACUGGGGCUAAUACCGGAUAGGAGCUCCUGCUGCAUGGUGGGGGUUGGAAAGUGUCGGCGGUUGGGGAUGGACUCGCGGCUUAUCAGCUUGUUGGUGGGGUAGUGGCUUACCAAGGCUUUGACGGGUAGCCGGCCUGAGAGGGUGACCGGCCACCUUGGGCCUGCGAUACGGCCCAGACUCCUACGGGAGGCAGCAGUGGGGAAUAUUGCACAAUGGGCGGACGCCUGAUGCAGCAACCCCGCGUGCGGGAUGCCGGCCUUCGGGUUGUAAACCGCUUUCGCCUGUGACGAAGCGUGAGUGACGGUAAUGGGUAAAGAAGCACCGGCUAACUACGUG
rnacentral:rRNA from 1 species